CCUACGGGCGGCAGCAGUGAGGAAUAUUGGUCAAUGGGCGAGAGCCUGAACCAGCCAAGUCGCGUGAAGGAUGACGGCCCUACGGGUUGUAAACUUCUUUUGUCAGGGAGCAAUUGAGUCCACGUGUGGGCUUAGCGAUAGUACCUGAAGAAAAAGCAUCGGCUAACUCCGUGCCAGCAGCCGCGGUAAUACGGGGGAUGCGAGCGUUCGCCGGAGUUAUUGGGUUAAAAGGGUGCGUACGCGGAAUAUCAAGUCAGCGGUAAAAAGUCGGGGCUCAACCCCGUCGUGCCGUUGAAACUGAUGUGCUUGCGUGGGCGAGAAGUAUGCGGAAUGCGAGGUGUAGCGGUGAAAUGCAUAGAUAUCACGCAGAACUCCGAUUGCGAAGGCAGCAUACCGGCGCCCAACUGACGCUGAAGCACGAAAGCGUGGGUAUCGAACAGGAUUAGAGACCCUUGUAGUC
rnacentral:rRNA from 1 species